GAGUUUGAUCAUGGCUCAGAACGUACGCUGGCGGCACGCCUAACACAUGCAAGUCGAACGAAGUAGCAAUACUUAGUGGCAGACGGGUGAGUAACAUGUAGGUAUCUGCCCUUUGGCCUGGAAUAACACGAGGAAACUUGUGCUAAUACCGGAUAAGUCUUUACAGAGAAAGCUUUAUGCACCAUUGGAUGAGCCUGCACUUGAUUAGUUUGUUGGUGGGGUAAUGGCCUACCAAGACUGUGAUCAAUAGCUGAUUUGAGAGGAUGAUCAGCCACAUUGGGACUGAGACACGGCCCAAACUCCUACGGGAGGCAGCAGUGGGGAAUCUUGCACAAUGGAGGAAACUCUGAUGCAGCGAUGCCGCGUGAGUGAAGAAGGCCUUUGGGUUGUAAAGCUCUUUCGUCGGGGAAGAAAAUGACUGUACCCGAAUAAGAAGGUCCGGCUAACUUCGUGCCAGCAGCCGCGGUAAUACGAAGGGACCUAGCGUAGUUCGGAAUUACUGGGCUUAAAGAGUUCGUAGGUGGUUGAAAAAGUUGGUGGUGAAAUCCCAGAGCUUAACUCUGGAACUGCCAUCAAAACUUUUCAGCUAGAGUAUGAUAGAGGAAAGCAGAAUUUCUAGUGUAGAGGUGAAAUUCGUAGAUAUUAGAAAGAAUACCAAUUGCGAAGGCAGCUUUCUGGAUCAUUACUGACACUGAGGAACGAAAGCAUGGGUAGCGAAGAGGAUUAGAUACCCUCGUAGUCCAUGCCGUAAACGAUGUGUGUUAGACGUUGGAAAUUUAUUUUCAGUGUCGCAGCGAAAGCGAUAAACACACCGCCUGGGGAGUACGACCGCAAGGUUAAAACUCAAAUGAAUUGACGGGGACCCGCACAAGUAGUGGAGCAUGUGGUUUAAUUCGAAGAUACGCGCAGAACCUUACCAACACUUGACAUGUUCGUCGCGACUUUGAGAGAUCAAAGUUUUCGGUUCGGCCGGACGAAACACAGGUGCUGCAUGGCUGUCGUCAGCUCGUGUCGUGAGAUGUUGGGUUAAGUCCCGCAACGAGCGCAACCCUCACUUUUAGUUGCCAUCAUUAAGUUGGGCACUCUGAAAGAACUGCCAGUGAUAAGCUGGAGGAAGGUGGGGAUGACGUCAAGUCCUCAUGGCCCUUACGUGUUGGGCUACACACGUGCUACAAUGGUAUCUACAACAGGAAGCAAGACUGCGAAGUUUAGCAAAUCCUUAAAAGAUACCUCAGUUCGGAUUGCACUCUGCAACUCGAGUGCAUGAAGCUGGAAUUACUAGUAAUCGUGGAUCAGCGUGCCACGGUGAAUGCGU
rnacentral:rRNA from 1 species